AACGCUAGCGGCAGGCCUAAUACAUGCAAGUCGAACGGUAAGGUCUCUUCGGAGAUACACGAGUGGCGCACGGGUGAGUAACGCGUAUGCAACCUACCUUUAACUGGAGGAUAGCCCCGAGAAAUCGGGAUUAAUACUUCAUAAUAAUAUAAAACGACAUCGUUUAAUAUUUAAAGCUCCGGCGGUUAAAGAUGGGCAUGCGUGACAUUAGAUAGUUGGUGAGGUAACGGCUCACCAAGUCCACGAUGUCUAGGGGUUCUGAGAGGAUUAUCCCCCACACUGGUACUGAGACACGGACCAGACUCCUACGGGAGGCAGCAGUAAGGAAUAUUGGUCAAUGGACGCAAGUCUGAACCAGCCAUGCCGCGUGCAGGAUUGACGGCCCUACGGGUUGUAAACUGCUUUUAUAUAGGAAGAAACCCAUCUACGUGUAGAUGGCUGACGGUACUAUAAGAAUAAGGACCGGCUAACUCCGUGCCAGCAGCCGCGGUAAUACGGAGGGUCCAAGCGUUAUCCGGAUUCAUUGGGUUUAAAGGGUCCGCAGGCGGGAAAAUAAGUCAGUGGUGAAAUCCUACAGCUCAACUGUAGAACUGCCAUUGAUACUGUUUUUCUUGAGUAUAGAUGAAGUGGGCGGAAUGUGUCAUGUAGCGGUGAAAUGCAUAGAUAUGACACGGAACACCGAUUGCGAAGGCAGCUCACUAAACUAUUACUGACGCUCAGGGACGAAAGCGUGGGGAGCGAACAGGAUUAGAUACCCUGGUAGUCCACGCCGUAAACGAUGAUUACUUAUCAUUGGCGAUAAACUGUCAGUGUCCAAGCGAAAGUGUUAAGUGAUCCACCUGGGGAGUACGGUCGCAAGAUUGAAACUCAAAGGAAUUGACGGGGGCCCGCACAAGCGGUGGAGCAUGUGGUUUAAUUCGAUGAUACGCGAGGAACCUUACCUGGGCUUAAAUGUAGAUUGACAGAUUGGGAAACCAGUCCUCCUUCGAGCAAAUUACAAGGUGCUGCAUGCCUGUCGUCAGCUCGUGCCGUGAGGUGUCGGGUUAAGUCCCAUAACGAGCGCAACCCCUAUUGUUAGUUGCCAGCGGAUAAUGCCGGGGACUCUAACGAGACUGCCACCGUAAGGUGUGAGGAAGGUGGGGAUGACGUCAAGUCAGCACGGCCCUUAUGUCCAGGGCUACACACGUGUUACAAUGGUCGGUACAAAGGGCAGCUACCUGGUGACAGGGUGCUAAUCUCAAAAGCCGAUCUCAGUUCGGAUCGAAGUCUGCAACUCGACUUCGUGAAGUUGGAUUCGCUAGUAAUCGUAUAUCAGCAACGAUACGGUGAAUACGUUCCCGGGCCUUGUACACACCGCCCGUCAAGCCAUGGAAGCUGGGGGUACCUGAAGUCCGUAACCGCAAGGAUCGGCCUAGGGUAAAACUAGUGACUGGGGCUAAGUCGUAACA
rnacentral:rRNA from 1 species